rnacentral:lncRNA from 1 species
UCCGGUGUGAUCAAUAACCUCAGAAGUUGGUGUAGCGAUCGCUAAGGCGCAACGUCUUGCAGGUUUGUAGCCGGUUCGUCAAUGUCAACAUCUACCCAAAAAUCGAUAGCUAUCUUCUCAUCGAAAGAUCGGGCUAUCUUCUCAUCGAAAGAUCGGGCACUUUUACCUCUGUCAAAAGUUGUCUUCGGUGGUCAACGGUCUCAAAUGCAAGGCUUGUUGCUUUGGUCCUUUGAAUAUUGUUAGUAGAGAUGGAGCAUUGCCUAAUUUUUCGUUAUUUUUUUUGGAAAGGAAGAUAACCUUGAGUCUCUAUUUCACUAUUUUUUUCCAGUAAUUAACCGAGCAUUUAUUUCUUUUGAUUUUAUUAACAAAAGGAUUGGG